rnacentral:tRNA from 1 species
GCCCGGGUGGCGGAACUGGCAGACGCACAGGACUUAAAAUCCUGUGGGGGGUAACCCCCGUGCGGGUUCGAUCCCCGCCCCGGGCA